rnacentral:rRNA from 1 species
AUUGAACGCUGGCGGCAUGCCUUACACAUGCAAGUCGAACGGUAACAGGUUAAGCUGACGAGUGGCGAACGGGUGAGUAAUAUAUCGGAACGUGCCCAGUCGUGGGGGAUAACGUAGCGAAAGUUACGCUAAUACCGCAUACGAUCUAAGGAUGAAAGCGGGGGAUCGCAAGACCUCGCGCCAUUGGAGCGGCCGAUAUCAGAUUAGGUAGUUGGUGGGGUAAAGGCUCACCAAGCCAACGAUCUGUAGCUGGUCUGAGAGGACGACCAGCCACACUGGAACUGAGACACGGUCCAGACUCCUACGGGAGGCAGCAGUGGGGAAUUUUGGACAAUGGACGCAAGUCUGAUCCAGCCAUUCCGCGUGCAGGAUGAAGGCCCUCGGGUUGUAAACUGCUUUUGUACGGAACGAAAAGGUCUCUCUUAAUACGGGGGACUCAUGACGGUACCGUAAGAAUAAGCACCGGCUAACUACGUGCCAGCCGCCGCGGUAA